rnacentral:rRNA from 1 species
AUUGAACGCUAGCGGGAGGCCUAACACAUGCAAGUCGAACGAGUGGCGGACGGGUGAGUAAUGUCUGGGAAACUGCCCGGUGGCGGGGGAUAACUACUGGAAACGGUAGCUAAUACCGCAUACCAUCAGAUGUGCCCAGAUGGGAUUAGCUAGUGGGUGGGGGAACGGCGCACCAAGGCGACGAUCCCUAGCUGGUCUGAGAGGACGACCAGCCACACUGGGACUGAGACACGGUCCAGACUCCUACGGGAGGCAGCAGUGGGGAAUUUUGGACAAUGGGGGCAAGCCUGAUGCAGCCAUGCCGCGUGUAUGAAGAAGGCCUUCGGGUUGUAAAGUACUUUCAGCGGGGAGGCGGUACCUGCAGAAGAAGCACCGGCUAACUCCGUGCCAGCAGCCGCGGUAAUAC